rnacentral:rRNA from 1 species
CGGUAAUACGGAGGGUGCAAGCGUUAAUCGGAAUUACUGGGCGUAAAGCGUGCGUAGGUGGUUUGUUAAGUUAGAUGUGAAAGCCCUGGGCUCAACCUAGGAACUGCAUUUAAAACUGGCGAACUAGAGUAUAGGAGAGGAAAGUGGAAUUUCAGGUGUAGCGGUGAAAUGCGUAGAUAUCUGAAGGAACAUCAUGGCGAAGGCAGCUUUCUGGACUAAUACUGACACUGAGGUACGAAAGCGUGGGUAGCAAACAGGAUUAGAUACCCUGGUAGUCCACGCCGUAAACGAUGACAACUAGCCGUUGGGAGGAUUUACCUCUUAGUGGCGAAGCUAACGCGUUAAGUUGUCCGCCUGGGGAGUACGGCCGCAAGGCUAAAACUCAAAGGAAUUGACGGGGACCCGCACAAGCGGUGGAGCAUGUGGUUUAAUUCGAUGCAACGCGAAGAACCUUACCUGGUCUUGACAUACACGGAACUUUCCAGAGAUGGAUUGGUGCCUUCGGGAACCGUGAUACAGGUGCUGCAUGGCUGUCGUCAGCUCGUGUCGUGAGAUGUUGGGUUAAGUCCCGUAACGAGCGCAACCCUUAUCCUUAUUUGCCAGCACAUCAUGGUGGGAACUAUAAGGAGACUGCCGGUGAUAAACCGGAGGAAGGCGGGGACGACGUCAAGUCAUCAUGGCCCUUACGACCAGGGCUACACACGUGCUACAAUGGGAAGGACAAAGGGUCGCAACCUCGCGAGAGCAAGCUAAUCUCAUAAACCUUUUCGUAGUCCGGAUCGGAGUCUGCAACUCGACUCCGUGAAGUCGGAAUCGCUAGUAAUCGUGGAUCAGAAUGCCACGGUGAAUACGUUCCCGGG